rnacentral:rRNA from 1 species
AGGACGAACGCUGGCGGCGUGCUUAAAACAUGCAAGUCGAACGAGGUCCAUGGGUUCGCAAGAACCCGGAAAACCUAGUGGCGAACGGGUGCGUAACACGUGAGGAACCUGCCCCAGAGACCGGGAUAACCCCUCGAAAGAGGAGCUAAUACCGGAUGUGCUCAUCGGAUCACCUGGUCUGAUGAGGAAAUGGAUUCCGCUCUGGAU